GACGAACGCUGGCGGCGUGCCUAAUACAUGCAAGUAGAACGCUGAAGAGAGGCGCUUGCCCUUGUUGGGUGAGUAGCGAACGGGUGAGUCACGCGUAGGUAACCUCCCUUGUAGCGGGGGACAACUAUUGGAAACGAUAGUUACUACCGCAUACCAAGGGAUGACACAGGUUACUUAUUUGACAGGGGCAAUUGCUCCACUCCCAGAUGGACCUGCGUUGUAUUAGUUAGUAGGUGAGGUAACGGGCCACCUAGGCGACGAUACAGAGCCGACCCGAGAGGGUGAUCGGCCACACUGGGACUGAGGCACGGCCCAGGCUCCUACGGGAAGGCACAGGAGGGAAUCUUCGGCAAUGGGGGGAACGCGGACCGAACAACGCCGCGUGGGUGAAGGAGGGUUUCGGAUCGUAAAACUCUGUUGUAAGGCAAGAACGAGUGUGAGAGUAGAAGGUGUACACUGUGACGGUAGCUUACCAGAAAGCGACGGCUAACUACGUG
rnacentral:rRNA from 1 species